GGUAUUCCGGGGGGCAUGCCUGUCCGAGCGUCAUU
rnacentral:rRNA from 1 species